CAAUGGAUUUUGAACAUUUUUUUCUGUGCAGAGUACAUGUGUAUGUCAAUAAUUCUCAAUAUUUUUUGGGUUGCAGAUCUUAUUUAAGAAAGUAAAGCUGCUUCUUUCACGAAAACAACUAUACAGUGGAAAAUUAUUAAAAAUGUUUUCCCAGCAAAUCAACACAAUUUAAUAGUAAAUAGCAAUAUUAGCAGCAUUCCAUCUAGUGCAAAAUAGGUCUUUCAAGCACAGUGGCCAAUGACCGUGGAGAAGUCUCCCAGGAAGGUUCUGGAACAGGUUCUUACAGGAAGGGCAGCCGAGAACAUCAAUGAUUAAAAGGGGGCUGAGAAGAGGAAACUGAUGGACAAAGAGGUGAGAAGUGGGAGAAAGAACGAAAAUCUGGAGGUUGGAGGAUAAACAAACCCACAUCCUUGUGGAUGAAGAAGGAUACCAAAAACUCAUUUUCCUGGAAGGAGCAAUUUUUGAAAUCAGCUACACUGAGGCUGCAGAUUGAGUGAAGGUCUUUUCCAUGUGAAUUUGUCCUGCAUCUGGGAUAAAGGUAUAAUGAUUACCUAAAGCAUGUUCUGUUCAUGGAAGAUCACUGGAACACAAAAGACCAAGCUCACAGCAUAUUCAAGACAUCUGCUCGUAUUCCACUGGCCAAAGAAAGUGAUGUGGCCCAGCCUAAAGUCAGCUCAUGCCUCUUGGAACACAUGGGGCAGCUGUGUGCACCUCAGAUGGAGCAGCCAAAAAGAGCUCAGAGCUUUGGUCCUGACUUUGCAGCCCAAGUGAGAUCAUGGGUUUUGUACUCCAGGCACUGUGCUAGGCACCAGGACUAUAAUACAACUUGUGAUCUGUAGAGGAGUCAGACAAUUAUCCAGGCAUCCCAAAGAAAUGUCAAUUGCAAGCCUGGAUCCCUUUUUCCCUGGAGGCUGUUCUGAAGAUGGCACCCUACCUGCUCACCUUUUAGUGUACCUGGGCACCCAUGCCUCCAUAUGGUGACCCUCAAAUCAUACUGAGCUGGCCUGAAGAACUUCUUGGGAAUAAAGACUCCAAAGAGAAGCUGAGUGUUGCUUUGGGACUGCCUGGCUGGAACUUCCCUGUUUUACUUUGAUGUGAACAAACAAUUUCACAUGCGUUUAUAAACUGUGGGAAGUCUCUCUCUAACCUGUGUAGGAAGAUUUCUGGUUCCAACAAGGAUGAUGCCCUCUUCUCUCAAAUUAAUCCUGGAGAAAAGAAAAAAAAUUAACAGAAGUGAAACAUGAAUUCUAACAAUGAAUAAAACCAACCAACAGACUGUGGGAACACCCUGAGGGUACAGAAGACUAUUUGCACUUGCGUGUGUCAGUUUCAGCCAGGGGAAGAAGGUGGCCCAAGGUGGCAGUGGAGCUUUCUGGAUUCUGCUCUUGUCCUUCUCUGGCUUUACUUCAAGACAGCCAUCACUCGCCUCUUCACUGCAGAGGUGACCCAGGAUCACAGAGAGGCUGCAUAAAUAUUGCUGAGGGAGGAGUUAAUGAAAACAAGGGCUUCUGGACCCAUUUGCCUUACCCCUACCCUUCAGACCCACAGGGCUCGUGGAUUAAAAUCUAGGGAGGCUACCUUCUCAUAAUGCAUCUUCUCCUUAAGGUUUAAGGUCAAGACCUGAGCAAUAGAGUUACAUGAUGGGUUCCUACAAAUCAGGGUAAUUCACAGUGGUUUGGUGAUGUCUGGGAUUUCCACAUGGAGGCUCAUUCUCUCUUUAUUAACUCACUUAAACUGGGCAGGGUAGCUGGUAUCCUCACGGGAAGACUUCUGGGCUAAAAUGACCAGACAUCUAAGGGGUACAUGCAUUCUCUGAAACGGAAAUAUUAGAAG
rnacentral:lncRNA from 1 species